UACGUAGGUGGCAAGCGUUGUCCGGAAUUACUGGGCGUAAAGGGUGCGCAGGCGGACAUUUAAGUGAGAUGUGAAAGACCCGGGCUUAACUUGGGCAGUGCAUUUCAAACUGGAUGUCUGGAGUGCAGGAGAGGAGAACGGAAUUCCUAGUGUAGCGGUGAAAUGCGUAGAGAUUAGGAAGAACACCAGUGGCGAAGGCGGUUCUCUGGACUGUAACUGACGCUGAGGCACGAAAGCGUGGGUAGCAAACAGGAUUAGAUACCCUGGUAGUCCACGCCGUAAACGAUGAGUACUAGGUGUAGGAGGUAUCGACCCCUUCUGUGCCGCAGUAAACACAAUAAGUACUCCGCCUGGGAAGUACGAUCGCAAGAUUAAAACUCAAAGGAAUUGACGGGGGCCCGCACAAGCAGCGGAGCAUGUGGUUUAAUUCGAAGCAACGCGAAGAACCUUACCUGGACUUGACAUCCCCUGCAUAUCUUAGAGAUAAGAGAAGCCCUUCGGGGCAGGGAGACAGGUGGUGCAUGGUU
rnacentral:rRNA from 1 species